rnacentral:rRNA from 1 species
GGGGGACAACUUGGGGAAACUCAAGCUAAUACCGCAUACGCCCUAGGGGGGAAAGCGGGGGACCUUCGGGCCUCGUGCUAUCAGAUGAGCCUGCGUAGGAUUAGCUUGUUGGUGAGGUAAAGGCUCACCAAGGCGACGAUCCUUAGCUGGUCUGAGAGGAUGAUCAGCCACACUGGGACUGAGACACGGCCCAGACUCCUACGGGAGGCAGCAGUGGGGAAUAUUGCGCAAUGGGGCAACCCUGACGCAGCCAUGCCGCGUAUGUGAAGAAGGCCUUCGGGUUGUAAAGCACUUUAAGUGGGGAGAAAAGGGUAGCGGUUAAUAGCCGUUACCUGUGAUGUUACCCACAGAAUAAGCACCGGCUAACUCCGUGCCAGCAGCCGCGGUAAUACGGAGGGUGCGAGCGUUAAUCGGAAUUACUGGGCGUAAAGCGCGCGUAGGUGGUUUGUUAAGUCAGCUGUGAAAGCCCCGGGCUCAACCUGGGAACUGCAGUUGAUACUGGCCGACUGGAGUACGAGAGAGGGAGGUAGAAUUCCAUGUGUAGCGGUGAAAUGCGUAGAUAUAUGGAGGAAUACCAGUGGCGAAGGCGGCCUCCUGGCUCGAUACUGACGCUGAGGUGCGAAAGCGUGGGGAUCAAACAGGAUUAGAUACCCUGGUAGUCCACGCCGUAAACGAUGUCUACUAGCCGUUGGGAGACUUGAUUUCUUAGUGGCGCAGCUAACGCUUUAAGUAGACCGCCUGGGGAGUACGGCCGCAAGGUUAAAACUCAAAUGAAUUGACGGGGGCCCGCACAAGCGGUGGAGCAUGUGGUUUAAUUCGAUGCAACGCGAAGAACCUUACCAGGUCUUGACAUCCUCGGAACUUUCCAGAGAUGGAUUGGUGCCUUCGGGAACCGAGAGACAGGUGCUGCAUGGCUGUCGUCAGCUCGUGUCGUGAGAUGUUGGGUUAAGUCCCGUAACGAGCGCAACCCUUGUCCUUAGUUGCCAGCGAGUAAUGUCGGGAACUCUAAGGAGACUGCCGGUGACAAACCGGAGGAGGGUGGGGACGACGUCAAGUCAUCAUGGCCCUUACGACCUGGGCUACACACGUGCUACAAUGGAACGCACAGAGGGCUGCAAAGGCGCGAGCUGGAGCCAAUCCCACAAAACGUUUCGUAGUCCGGAUCGGAGUCUGCAACUCGACUCCGUGAAGUCGGAAUCGCUAGUAAUCGUGGAUCAGAAUGCCGCGGUGAAUACGUUCCCGGGCCUUGUACACACCGCCCGUCACACCAUGGGAGUGGGUUGCUCCAGAAGUGGUUAGCCUAACCUUCG